AUUGAACGCUGGCGGCAUGCUUUACACAUGCAAGUCGAACGGUAACAGGCCUUCGGGCGCUGACGAGUGGCGAACGGGUGAGUAAUGCAUCGGAACGUGCCCAGUCGUGGGGGAUAACGCAGCGAAAGCUGUGCUAAUACCGCAUACGAUCUAUGGAUGAACGCGGGGGACCGUAAGGCCUCCCGGUAUUGGAGCGGCCGAUGUCAGAUUAGGUAGUUGGUGGGGUAAAGGCUCACCAAGCAAACGAUCUGUAGCUGGUCUGAGAGGACGACCAGCCACACUGGGACUGGGACACGGCCCAGACUCCUACGGGAGGCAGCAGUGGGGAAUUUUGGACAAUGGGGGCAACCCUGAUCCAGCAAUGCCGCGUGCAGGAAGAAGGCCUUCGGGUUGUAAACUGCUUUUGUACGGAACGAAACGGUCUGGGUUAAUACCCUGGGCUAAUGACGGUACCGUAAGAAUAAGCACCGGCUAACUACGUGCCAGCCGCCGCCGUAAUAC
rnacentral:rRNA from 1 species